rnacentral:rRNA from 1 species
UGAGGAAUAUUGGUCAAUGGGUGCAAGCCUGAACCAGCCAUCCCGCGUGAAGGACGACUGCCCUAUGGGUUGUAAACUUCUUUUGUAUAGGGAUAAACCUACCCUCGUGAGGGAAGCUGAAGGUACUAUACGAAUAAGCACCGGCUAACUCCGUGCCAGCAGCCGCGGUAAUACGGAGGGUGCAAGCGUUAUCCGGAUUUAUUGGGUUUAAAGGGUCCGUAGGCGGACUUAUAAGUCAGUGGUGAAAGCCUGUCGCUUAACGAUAGAACUGCCAUUGAUACUGUAAGUCUUGAGUAUAUUUGAGGUAGCUGGAAUAAGUAGUGUAGCGGUGAAAUGCAUAGAUAUUACUUAGAACACCAAUUGCGAAGGCAGGUUACCAAGAUAUAACUGACGCUGAGGGACGAAAGCGUGGGGAGCGAACA